GCUCCGGUAGCCUAGUGGUUAGAGCGUCCGCCUUGGAUGCGGGAGGUCGUGGGUUCAUUUCCCGGUCGAAUCA